CCUACGGGAGGCAGCAGUGGGGAAUAUUGGACAAUGGGCGAAAGCCUGAUCCAGCCAUGCCGCGUGUGUGAAGAAGGCCUUCGGGUUGUAAAGCACUUUCAGUGGGGAAGAAAGCCUUGGGGCUAAUACCCUCGAGGAAGGACAUCACCCACAGAAGAAGCACCGGCUAACUCCGGGCCAGCAGCCGCGGUAAUACGGCGGGUGCGAGCGUUAAUCGGAAUUACUGGGCGUAAAGCGCGCGUAGGCGGUCUGAUAAGCCGGUUGUGAAAGCCCCGGGCUCAACCUGGGAACGGCAUCCGGAACUGUCAGGCUAGAGUGCAGGAGAGGAAGGUAGAAUUCCCGGUGUAGCGGUGAAAUGCGUAGAGAUCGGGAGGAAUACCAGUGGCGAAGGCGGCCUUCUGGACUGACACUGACGCUGAGGUGCGAAAGCGUGGGUAGCAAACAGGAUUAGAUACCCGAGUAGUC
rnacentral:rRNA from 1 species